rnacentral:rRNA from 1 species
UGCAAGUCGAGCGAUGAGGCCUUCUUCGGAGGGCACAUCAGCGGCAGACGGGUGAGUAACACGUGGGUGACCUGCCCUUGAGACGGGGAUAACGGAUGGAAACAUGCGCUAAUACCCGAUAGGGUCCCAGGGUCAAAGCUGGGAUGAAAGCUUUGGUGCUCAAGGAGGGGCUCGCGGCCCAUCAUCUAGUUGGUGAGGUAACGGCUCACCAAGGCGAAGACGGGUAGGGGGUGUGAGAGCACGGCCCCCCACAAUGGGACUGAGACACGGCCCAUACUCCUACGGGAGGCAGCAGCAGGGAAUAUUGCACAAUGGACGGAAGUCUGAUGCAGCGACGCCGCGUGGAUGAUGAAGGCCUUCGGGUUGUAAAAUCCUUUACGGGGUGACGAGGAAGGACGGUAGCCCCGGAACAAGCGUCGGCUAACUACGUGCCAGCAGCCGCGGUAAGACGUAGGACGCAAGCGUUAUCCGGAUUUACUGGGCGUAAAGCGUCUGUAGGCGGAUGAGUAAGUUGGGCGUGAAAGCUCCGGGCUCAACCCGGAGAGGCCGUUCAAUACUGCUGAUCUAGAGGAGGCCAGAGGGGAGUGGAAUUCCUGGAGUAGCGGUUAAAAUGUGCAGAUAUCAGGAAGAACACCAGUGGCGAAGGCGGCUCCCUAUGGCCCACCUGACGCUGAGAGACGACAGCUAGGGGAGCGAACAGGAUUAGAGACCCUGGUAGUCCUAGUCGUAAACGAUGGAUGCUAUGUGUAGGGCUGUAGAGGCUCUGUGCCGGAGCGAACGCGAUAAGCAUCCCGCCUGGGGAGUACGGCCGCAAGGCUAAAACUCAAACGAAUUGACGGGGACCCGCACAAGCAGCGGAGCGUGUGGUUUAAUUUGAUGUUACACGAAGAUCCUUACCUGGGUUUGACAUGGGCGUGGUAGUGAAGCGAAAGCGGAGCGACCCUUCGGGGAGCGUCCACAGGUGCUGCAUGGCUGUCGUCAGCUUGUGCCGUGAGGUGUCGGGUUAAGUCCCGUAACGAGCGCAACCCUUGCCAUUAGUUUCAAGUGUCUAAGGGGACUGCCGGCGGGAAGCCGGAGGAAGGUGGGGAUGACGUCAAGUCAGCAUGGCCCUUAUAUCCAGGGCUACACACACGCUACAAUGGCCGGUACAGAGGGCAGCGAAGCCGCGAGGUGGAGCGAAUCCCAGAAAUCCGGUCGUAGUUCGGAUUGCAGGCUGCAACCCGCCUGCAUGAAGCCGGAGUUGCUAGUAACCGCGUGUCAGCCAUAGUGCGGUGAAUACGUUCCCGGGUCUUGUACACACCGCCCGUCACGUCAUGGGAGUCGGUAACGCGGGAAGCCGGUAGCCUGACCCGC